GUCCACGCUGUAAACGAUGAGUGCUAGGUGUUUUGGGUAUUGACCCCCGAGGCGCCGUAGCUAACGCGUUAAGCACUCCGCCUGGGGAGUACGGUCGCAAGACUAAAACUCAAAGGAAUUGACGGGGGCCCGCACAAGCGGUGGAGCAUGUGGUUUAAUUCGACGCAACGCGCAGAACCUUACCAGGGCUAGAAAAGGUCGGAAUCCGGGAGAAAUCUUGGAGUGCUCGCAAGAGAGCCGGCAUCCAGGUGCUGCAUGGCUGUCGU
rnacentral:rRNA from 1 species